rnacentral:rRNA from 1 species
AGGUGCGAUCAUACCAGCACUAAUGCACCGGAUCCCAUCAGAACUCCGAAGUUAAGCGUGCUUGGGCGAGAGUAGUACUAGGAUGGGUGACCCCCUGGGAAGUCCUCGUGUUGCACCCC